rnacentral:lncRNA from 1 species
AGAGAGUGGGAGAGAGAGCACAAUAGGGGGAGGGGGGAGGGAAGGGACAAGCAGACUCUCCCUGAGUGGGGAGCCCAGUGCGGGGCUCAAUUCCAGAUUCCUGAGAUGAUGACAGGAGACGAUGUCAGUUGCUUAACCUAAUGAACCACUGGGCGCCUAAUCCUUUAAUUGCUUAAAUAAUUAUGAUAGCCUCCAGACCAAACAUGGACUUGAACCCCAACCCUGAGAUCAAGGGUGAGGUGCUCUACAAACUGAGCCAACUGAAAGUCCUAGAAUUUAUCCUUUGAAAUAAACCACAGUACCUCAAUUCAGUCAACUUUGAUUUUUAAUAAAAGUGAGUCAUCGUGGGGGCGCUUGGGUGGCUCAGUCGGUUAAGCAUCUGCUUACAGCUCAGGUCGUGAUCCCAGGGUCCUGGGAUGCAGCCCCCUGUGUUGGGCUCUCCCCUCAGGGGAAGUCGGCUUCUCCCUCUUCCUCACCCCCACAUGCUUGUUCUCUCUCUCCCUCAAAUAAAUAAAAUCUUUACAAAACGAGUCCAUGAUGAAGCCAGCACUGCCAUAUUCUGCUUGACACCGAGUCGUGUUCCGGAAAGAGUCUCGUGGUCAGUGUUGAAGGACAGAAAGGCCAUCGAGCCCAGGGCCAGCGGGCCCAGGCACGCCUGUGCCGCCCCCAGCUCGGGGCUCCGGGCCGCCCUCCGCCCUCAGGCUGCCGCAGGCUCUGAGGGAGAAACAGCCCUGGGACUAGGGCCGCCCUGAGCGCGAGCAGCAUUGCUGAGCAGCACCGGGGGGCGGCAGCUGAGAAGGGGGAGCAAGCAGAGGACAGAUGCAUCCUCACACACGCUCCAUCCGUUCGCUUUCGCAAACCAAGUCAGGAAGCAGGAACUUUACAGGCUCAGAGAGUCUCUGCGGGAGGAGAGUCGACCAGGACCCAGCGUCGGUCCGUCCCACUGAUGCCCUCGAACGUGGAGGUUCAGAAGGGAGCCACGUGGCAGAGGGAGUGGAGGUGCCCGAGGCUCCUGGGUCCCCCCACUGCACCUGGAUGGAGGCGCAGUGGAAGGACUGAUCCACUGAGAGAUUUAUGGAGCCUCAGGUCUCAUCCCCUGGGUUUGUCUGCAUCGUGGAGCAUUGAGGUUCCCUUCCUGCAGCCUCUAAGGUGGACGGUCAGGGCCGCAGCUCUCGGGGACCACGGCUCUGGCCUUCCCGGGGACUCGGCUCCUCUCGUGUCCUCAAGCCUCCGUCCCCUGCCUCUGGGUGUGGGGCAAGUGAAGAGCCAGGCUGUGGCUGGGCCCCGGCUCCAGGGCACACGUGUGUCCCUGUCUGUCAUCCGUUUUCCUCUUUCGCCUCUGGCUGUUUUACUAUUGCAAACGGCAUUAAAAAAAACCAAAAAGUUACUCUGCUCUGAGGAAGAGCGCACGGGUGGCUCGUCCCCAGGGAAGGUCUCUAGAGUGCAGGGGAAAGUCCUACUGAGACCCCAGGACAUCCUUCCCGGAGGCAGGAGAAGGAGGGAGGUGUCAAUCAACACAGCCUGUUAA